GAGCUUGCUUCGGCAGCACAUACACUAAAAUUGGACUGAUACAGACUAAAUUAGUAUGGCCCCUGCACGAGGAUGACACACAACUUCACAAAGCGUUCCCUAUUUUU